CCUACGGGUGGCUGCAGUGGGGAAUAUUGCACAAUGGGCGCAAGCCUGAUGCAGCCAUGCCGCGUGUGUGAAGAAGGCCUUCGGGUUGUAAAGCACUUUCAGCGGGGAGGAAGGCGUUAAGGUUAAUAACCUUGUCGAUUGACGUUACCCGCAGAAGAAGCACCGGCUAACUCCGUGCCAGCAGCCGCGGUAAUACGGAGGGUGCAAGCGUUAAUCGGAAUUACUGGGCGUAAAGCGCACGCAGGCGGUCUGUCAAGUCGGAUGUGAAAUCCCCGGGCUCAACCUGGGAACUGCAUUCGAAACUGGCAGGCUAGAGUCUUGUAGAGGGGGGUAGAAUUCCAGGUGUAGCGGUGAAAUGCGUAGAGAUCCGGAGGAAUACCGGUGGCGAAGGCGGCCCCCUGGACAAAGACUGACGCUCAGGUGCGAAAGCGUGGGGAGCAAACAGGAUUAGAUACCCGGGUAGUC
rnacentral:rRNA from 1 species